rnacentral:rRNA from 1 species
AUACGGAGGGUGCAAGCGUUACUCGGAAUCACUGGGCGUAAAGCGCGCGCAGGCGGUCUUUUAAGUUGGAUGUGAAAGCCUACGGCUCAACCGUAGAACUGCAUCCAAAACUAUUAGACUAGAGUGUGGGAGAGGAAGAUGGAAUUAGUUGUGUAGGGGUAAAAUCCGUAGAGAUAACUAGGAAUACCAAAAGCGAAGGCAAUCUUCUGGAACACUACUGACGCUGAGGCGCGAAAGCGUGGGGAACAAACAGGAUUAGAUACCCUAGUAGUCC